rnacentral:rRNA from 1 species
GAUGCACGCUAGCUACAGGCUUAACACAUGCAAGUCGAGGGACCGGCGCACGUGUGAGUAACACGUAUCCAACCUGCCCUUUACUCGGCGAUAGCCUUUCGAAAGAAAGAUUAAUACCCUAUAUAAAGGAUGGGGAUGCGUUCCAUUAGGUUGUUGGUGAGGUAACGGCCCACCAAGCCUUCGAUGGAUAGGGGUUCUGAGAGGAAGGACACCCACAUUGGAAAUGAGACACGGUCUAAACUCAGACGGGAGGCAGCAGUGAGGAAUAGUGGUCAAUGGGCGCUAGCCAUACCCGGCCAAGUAGCGGGAAGGAUGCAAGAUUAUGGGUCGUAAACUUCUAGUAUAGAAGAAUAGGUAUUAUCUGACUAAGGAUCGGCUAAAUCCGUACGAGCAGCCGCGGUAAUUC